ACCGGUAUCCGCACACCACAAGCUAAGCUGAGGGAGAACCCUAGUUAGAUUAGACGGCCUCCAUCCGCUCUCUUUGCCGGCCUGUUCCUUCCUUCUUCUCUCUCCGCCCACGAAAUUUGAGGGAUCCGCGUUGUUACUGCUUCGGUGAUGCUCUCAGUCCCUCGUCGCUCUAAACGCGCCCUCUUCGUGGGCGGCGUCUUCGUCAAGACCUCUCUGCUCGAAGCUCGGUCUACUCACCGCCACCGUUCCUCCUGGACCGCCUUCCCCGUCGCCGCGCAUCAAUCAGAUGUCCUCCCGAAGACAAAAAUCUCUUCUUUUGUCGGAAACCUUCCCGAAUCUUCUUCCAUCUUGCUAUCCCCGUACUCAUGGCUGCACAGGCCGCAGUUGUAGGCUACAAGGUAGCCAUGCGGAUCAGUUAUUUGGCAUCGAAGCCGGAGGAAAUUGGGACUGAUGGCCGUGGCUGUAAGCCCUGGGAAGCAAUUACGACAGGUAUGCCCGCAGCACUAUAUUUCCUGGGAAGAAUGGUUCACAUUUUUGCUGUCGAGACUUGUUUAUCUCCUUCAACUUAGUUCGGGAAUAAACAACCACAUGAGAACAAUUUGUUCCUUUAUUGUGUGAGACAAAUAGAGGCUACUUCAAAUGAAAUCAACAGUCUGCUUGCUCACUUGGAAAGCCUUGGCAAGCACCUCGUCAGAGAUCGGCGGCGUUGAUCCGAAGACCGCAUUUGGAACCAAGAUGACUCCAGGGUUCUGGCUGCUAAGCCCGGAGAUGGCAAAUGCACUGGUAGCACCGAUGUUGUAUUGGUAGUGAAUGAGCUCUUGAGGAAACACAAAAACAUCGCCCUUGUUAAGAACCUUGGUGAAUUGCUUGUUCCCAGGGUUAGACAUGAUGAAACCGACAAGGAUGCUGCCUUCCAAGACCGUGAAGAGUUCGGUGGCACGCGGGUGGGUGUGGAGCGGGAUAAGGCCAUAUGGAGCAAAGUCAAGUCGAGCCAAGGAGAUGCCCAAUGUGUUCAACCCGGGGAUCUGAUCCACAGCGACAGGGGUCACACUAGAUCCACCUGCAUUUUAGGUGUUGCCAGGCUUAUCAAGACCAGAGAAGAAGAAAUUAUCGGCGGUGACCGUGUUUGGGUCCUUGCAAGCGAAGCCAUUAACAAAGACUGCAAAAUAUGCAUGAAAAGAAGCGUAAGCGAACGUGACAACAAGAUGGUUAGACAAAAGUAAGAAUUCAAUGAGCAGAAUUUAUAGUCACCUGCAGAAUUCUUAUCGGCGACGCAGAAAUCUUGGAGCUGGCUAGGAUCAGAAGCCAUGGCAGCAGUGGAAGCUAAAGCAACUAGGGCGAGGAAGAUGAUGGGGCCAUCCAUCUCUCUAGUCUCUCUAUCACUUGGCAGAAGAAGCUUGAGAGGUGGUUGAUGAAAUGAGGUUGGGUUGGAGGAGUUGAGUAUUUAUAGAUCCUUAACUGUGAAAUUUAGAUUAAUAAAUAUAUAUUAAAAGUUUGUCUUGGUCAAAUUGAGAUCAGAUAGCGUGUUCAUUUGAACUGAUGUUUUCAAUAAAUUUGAACGCUGAUGGAGUUGAAAGAGUCACUAAAAUGACUUAUUUAUUUA